GCCCGGGUCCUGCGCCUCCCCCAGCUAGGGCCCCCGAGCGGGUGGUUCCGACAACUAGACGUCCCCGCCGGGGCCGCCUUUCUAACCCACGGAGCGGCCGCAGCCUUCCGCCCAUUUUCUGGCCGUCCUGCGCUGGGCCACAGCUGUCACCUCGUGACUAAACCUCAUGUCCAAAUACUGGCGUUCAGUCGAGUCACUGACAUACUGGACAGCGAAGGUGUAAAGAGGUGUCCUCUCCCUGUCCCGUGGUUAGAAGGGUUGACGUUUCUGAAGAAACACGGCGGGGGCGAGGGGAGCUUGGCACGUUCACACGCCUGAAAAACUGAGCAGUGGGAAAGAGACUCGGCGUGUUCUUAAGAGCCUGUGGCGCUGAAAGGAUCGUAGUUAGUGAGAAAACAUUUCACAGUGCUGGUCAAAGCAGUCAUUAACCCAGAUGUCAAGAGACAUAAGCGGUUGACAGGUUGCCAGCCAGAACGAGGCGGAAGUGUCUAUCUAUCACAGUUCCUGAGGAGAGCUUGGCUGACUCAUGAGACAUUUAGGGGGACCCUCCCAGCGGGUUGUUUUUUAUUCCGAGAAACUUCUCUUCCAAGAUCAGGUGGUUUGGUCGGGACCUUGAUAAGGUUCCGGUUAAACGCGUUGGGCUUUAGUUGAACAGCGUUCAAGGAAGAUCAGAGUAACUCGGAGCUUUGAAUUGCGCAAUACACCUAUGAAAAUGUGACGGGAGCCGAGGCUUUUCCCACGGGAAACAUUUUGUUCUGAAAUUCAGCGAGCUAAGAGAGGCGACCUUGGAGUCCACAAACCUCAAGCUGACAGUUCUACACGCAGGAAAUCUGGCUUCCCUGGGACAGGAUAGAAUACUGACUCUAUUGGCUCCUGCAUUGAGCAGACUGGGGAGACGUGAUGAAAGGAAAGAUCCUUCUCCUGGAAUGGACUGAACUUAUCUCCUUCCAACAGAAGCCUCCAGGAGCACGUGACAGUUCCCGAAGGUCACCUGGAUCAAUGGAGAAGCAAGUUUUUCUUCCCCUGGAGAGGUGACAAGAUGGAGUUAUCUGUCACAGCUCAUUAGCACACAGGCCAGAAGAGGACACCAGACCUCAUUACAGAUGGUUGUGAGCCACCAUGUGGUUGCCAGGAAUUGAACUCAGGACCUUUGGAAGAGCAGACAAUGCUCUUAACCACUGAGCCAUCUCUCCAGCCC